rnacentral:rRNA from 1 species
UACGAAGGGGGCUAGCGUUGUUCGGAAUCACUGGGCGUAAAGGGCGCGUAGGCGGCUUUGUAAGUCGGGGGGUGAAAGCCUGUGGCUCAACCACAGAAUUGCCUUCGAUACUGCAUGGCUUGAGACCGGAAGAGGUUAGUGGAACUGCGAGUGUAGAGGUGAAAUUCGUAGAUAUUCGCAAGAACACCAGUGGCGAAGGCGGCUGACUGGUCCGGUUCUGACGCUGAGGGCGCGA